rnacentral:rRNA from 1 species
AUUGAACGCUGGCGGCAUGCUUUACACAUGCAAGUCGAACGGUAACAGGCCGCAAGGUGCUGACGAGUGGCGAACGGGUGAGUAAUGCAUCGGAACGUGCCCAGUCGUGGGGGAUAACUACUCGAAAGAGUAGCUAAUACCGCAUACGAUCUAUGGAUGAAAGCGGGGGACCGUAAGGCCUCGCGCGAUUGGAGCGGCCGAUGUCAGAUUAGGUAGUUGGUGGGGUAAAGGCUCACCAAGCCAACGAUCUGUAGCUGGUCUGAGAGGACGACCAGCCACACUGGGACUGAGACACGGCCCAGACUCCUACGGGAGGCAGCAGGGGGGAAUUUUGGACAAUGGGCGCAAGCCUGAUCCAGCAAUGCCGCGUGCAGGAAGAAGGCCUUCGGGUUGUAAACUGCUUUUGUACGGAACGAAACGGCUCUGGUUAAUACCCGGGGCUAAUGACGGUACCGUAAGAAUAAGCACCGGCUAACUACGUG